GGGAAAAAGUAAGAAAAAAACAAAAAAGUGAGCAGACACAAAUGUGCAAAAUAGGUCGCUCACUU
rnacentral:ribozyme from 12 species